GGGGCGUUAGCUCAGUUGGCAGAGCUGUUGACUCUUAAUCAACUGGUCCUGGGUUCGAAUCCCAGACGCCCCACCA
rnacentral:tRNA from 1 species